AUGCCACCUCACCAUGUAGUAACAUGCAUGCAAAAAUCUCCACCUCAACAUGCAACCAUGCAUUUAAAAAAAUCCCAUCUCAACAUGGAAACAUGCUUGACAAUUUUCAUUCUGUUAUGCUAUUUAUGUUUAGUAAAUAUUUUACAACUAUAUACUAACCAAACAAAAAGAAUCAUAUGUAGUUUUUGUUUCAGUUCUCAUACUAUUACUUCAAAUAUUCACGUUCUGUACAAUCAAAUCUCAUUACAAAUAUAUCGCAAAUCAUUUCCGCAACAACGUGCAUGGUAUCAUCUAGUACUUCAUAAAUUUGAGUACCCCGGUAGAAAGUAA
rnacentral:rRNA from 1 species